AUUUCUGGUCUUGCUUUUUUAAUCAGUUUCUUCCCAGAUGCUCCUGUACCUCUGCCUCAGUCAGACUAAAUUAAAAACAAGGGAUAAGAAGGAUAUAGCAGGCUUAGUUCUUCAUUUGUACUUAGUGAGAUUCCUGAUGGAACUUCUGAAUGGUAGACACUAUUUAAAAUUCUCUUCUGAUGCACAAAUGCUCAUUACAAAACCAAACCAAACCAAAACUGGUCUUGGGUUUAUAACAUCAUUUAUUCUGGAUUUGCAUGUUUCUUCUUUUUUUCUCAUUACAGGAUACCUUCUUCUCCCCUGAACACAACUGUGGAAGACAUAACAGUAAUAAUACUACAUACAAUGAUCUGUGUUUCAUGUGUUUAGCUAGCAUUUCGUGUGUUAAUGGCUAGCAUUUUGGCUAGCACUCCAAGCAUUCAUCAAAUGGCUCCUAAGCUGUUCUAGAACAUCCUUGUUCAUUCAGAACAUGUUGUCAUCCCUCAAGUUUCACAAUGUGCUUUGGUUUAAUUAACAUCAUGACUGGACAGUAACUACCAAUUUCCUUGAGGAUGCAGUACUGAAAUAAAACUUGCUCACAGCACUUGAGACCUCUUUCUGUAUGAAUAAGCUUUUGGACCCAAAAGAAACUGAAGGAAGUAUGCGUGAUAGAAGUAAUGACUCUUCUACAGCAAUUUCACCAUUGCAAAUUACCAAGCUCGAAAAAGAUUAGGUGAAAUCUCUCCCACCAACCUCCCAGCCCCUAACACACCUUUAUUUUUGUUUACUUUUUUAAUCUAGCAGAAUAAUCAUGUAGGGACUACCACAGUCAGAGAGUGAGAAAGUGAUGAUAUAGUCUUCAGGGCUACUGCUGGAUGGCAUUUCUUUUCUUUGCUGUCUAUACACUAAGAGAGGGCUACGGGGCUUAAAUGAGGUUUCCUGUCUUUGCUCAAAUACUAAGACAGGGUAUGAUGCGUCAUGCCUUGCGAAUGCCAGACUCCCACAGACUUCUGGCUGUGUGGCUGUCAGGAACACAGCAUCAAGUCCUCAUAACUAUUAGCACUGAAAUGUGUGGGGUUUUUAACUGACUGGAUAAAUGAUCCUAGAAAAAACAGUUCUUGAUAUCUACUGUACUGAGAAACAGACACAUUUUUAAAUCAUAUCGAGUAAUCUGGGUGCAGGUGGCCACUUCUGCAUAUGCAGGUUAAAUUAUGGUGGUACCUCCUUUCUGUAGCUCAGCACGAGCUAAUAUUUGCUUUCCUUUUCCCUUUCCCCUUUCAUGAUCUAAUGUGCCUAUACAAGAAAAAAAACUCAUAUUGUGACUAACUGACCUAGGAAUGCAUGUCCAGCACUAACACGAUCAGACAAAUGUGUAUUUGAACUGAACUGGAAAAGGGCUGUGAUUUUUAGAGCCAAAUCCCACCACGAAAGUACAGGUGGGGAAUGGCAGGAGGAUGUUGUGUGCCAGGCAUAGUAAGUCACUUACAGGAUGUGCUUGAGAGCUUCUUGAUUUUCUCAGUUACUGCUAACGAUGGCAUACGGCUCUUCACUUUGCCAGCAUUUGCUAUUUAUCAUAUUAGAAUGUAAUUUAGAUAACUUUCACUCUCAUGUACUAAGUGAAACCAACUACAUGGCUGUGGAAUACGUUACUACUUUCUCAAGUUUUUUCAGAACAGCUGUAAUUCCACAGGUUCCUGUAGCACUGUGCAUCAAGCCUGGGCAAGAACCUGUAUGUUCGGUUCCCUGCCUGUGACCAAUUAAAGGUUAUGGGAAACUCUUACAUAAAUACGACACUAUUAGUUAUACAAUUUUGCAGACAAAGUGAUGUUUUCCUCCUGUGCCUCUAAGCGUAUAGAUGUAAUAAUAAUAUAUGCAGAGGAACAAAGAACUUCAGUCCGUUGUGUUUUUAAAAGCCAAGCUUACAUCUAAAUCUAUUUCCAUUUCCCUCUGGAACCUGAGCAGCUUUUUAUGUUAUAUUAAACAUUAGACAAAUAGGGUAGAUCUAAUUAAAAGUUGAAGAAAUGUGCUUCCCUUAAUUGAAUUUGUUACAGUUACAUUUUGCAGACCAAUGUUAAUCAAAGCUGCAGUUCAGAGUGGAUGGAUCAAGUGAAUUAAGUUAACCUUUGCAUGUCCUUACCUGAACACGCGAUAAGGUCUGCUCUCGCCUAAGCCACAGACGCCAAUCACGACCCACCACUCAGCCGCGGCUGCCCGGCGCCGGCUGCCCAUGGGCCCGCCGCAUCAGGAGGACCUGAACCGCCCGCUCGCUCACUACCGAGCAGCGGGGGGCAGCGGCAGCUCCCGGCCGAGGUCGUCGGCGCUGCCGCUCCCCGCGCACUCACGGCGCGGGGCACCCAGCUAGCCCGACGGCCGCUGGGUCUGUGGCUCGGCGGCCCCGCGGCGGGAGGCAGUCCUGGCCGCCAUGCGCGGGGAUGCCCUCAUCCUCACCACCAUCAUCCCCCUCCUCCUCCUCCUCC
ensembl:lncRNA